rnacentral:tRNA from 1 species
GGAGAUAGCCUAGUGGUUGGGCUAGUUGGUGGAGACCAGUAGGUCUUGGGUUCGAUUCCCAGACCAUCCU